rnacentral:lncRNA from 1 species
UUUGACCCAGCUAUAGGUUGCAGGGACGUGCGGGGCAUCCAUCUUUCAACCCGCAACCAUCAAAUCCCGAUUCACAGGUGGGAAUGGGAAACGGUGACCACAGGUGGGCGUGCGCCCAGCACCGCCCUCCUCCCGUGCUCGCGCUGUUCUUCCUCCCAUCCUUCGAUAUGGGAGCCUCUGCGACGAGCUCACAUGAGGACACUUGAGGUGCAAGUCGUUAUUGGUCGUGUGCAGUUCCCUUGCACAGCCAUGCAGUUCUACACCCCAUUCUUCUUCUGCUACCCUCCAUCUGAUGUGUGGCAUGUGGCGAAUGGUCUAGAGUGUUUUCACUAUUCUUACCCACGA